AGAUGACAUCAGUGAGCGACGGAGCCUCCCUGAGCCUGUUUCCUGCUCCUGAAUGGGUUGGGGAGCUGGAGAUCCCAAGGGGCCCUGCCACCUUCCCGGCUCUUCUCUGCCUUUUGACAGUCUGCAGGCUCGGCCGGCACCCAGGAGACACCCAAAUGCAGCCCUGCGCUGCCCCCUUGUGGCUGACACGGGCACUGCAGCCAGGAAGGCGCCUUUCUCGCCCAACCUUCCUCCCAGGGGUUGCCAGAAACAAGAAAAGGCAUUUUGCCUGGUGAAUUCAGAGGACCGAGAGCUCGAGGAGAAGCUUCCAGGAGAGCAGGUGCCCAGCUCUGGCAUCUCCUUUCCUGGGUUGCACCUGACGGUGAAGAGCUUGUACAGUGGACUCAGGCUGGGGUCCCCGGGCCCCUGUCCUCGCCGUGUCCCUGGGGCUCCCACGUGCACGGACUGCGGAGUCGGGGAGGGUGCAGGAGUCACCCCCACCCCCAGGAGAGACGGUGGCUUCCUGAGCUAGCAACUGGAGGCCCCGUCCUUAAUUAAAGUAGAAAAAUAGCUCACA
rnacentral:lncRNA from 1 species